CAAUAGCUAAACUGCUCUAGAAAAAAGGCAGGACAAAGGCAAGCUAGACUUUGGUAUAUAACCUUGGUAUGAAGAUUGCAUCAAACUGCCUGAUUGAUUGUUGGCCAUUAUAGGAUUUUUAGCUUUGCAAGUAGUGGCUUUAUUGCGCAUAUUAGAUAAUUUUUCCUCAGGAGUUAAAUUAUCAACACUAGAGGGCUGGCAAAUCUCUCUGUCCCACCCCACUAAGAGGGCGGGCUAUAUAGUCCUGUUGGGACCACGGAUUUGGGUUUACGGACUUUGCCUUGGGAGACGUAAAGCCUCUUUCAUAAUGUGGAGAAGAAUAUUCACAGCCUGCGUCCUGUUCUGUGCCUGCCAAGCACAAACUGACCCUUCCUUCCUGGUGACGUUUCCGGGGGUAAUUCCGACCGGCUCCAACACGAAGUUCUGUGCCCUCUUGCUUCAUGUCCAUGAAAUGCUCCAUCUCACUGUGUCGCUGGUGGACGGGAACCAGACCACAGUCCUGCAGGAGGUGCAUUCAGACAAAGACAUCUACCAGUGCUCUAAUUUUCAGCCCCCCAAAGUGAGUGUGGAGUCCAUCCAAGUAAUUAGGGUGGAGUUACGUGGGCAGGACCUUCAACUGGUGAAGGAGACCAGUGUCCGGAUAAAACCAGCUACGCCAAUAUCGUUCAUUCAGACGGACAAACCCAUUUACAAGCCCGGGCAGACUGUGCAUUUCAGGAUCGUCAGCCUGGACACAGCGUUUGCCCCUGUAGAUCAGCUGUAUGACGUGGUGCAGCUGGAGGACCCUAAAUUCAACCGCAUUGCCCAGUGGACCAAUGUCAGGACCAACCAGAAGAUCCUGCAGCUUUCGCACCCUUUGAGUUCAGAGGCUCCGCUGGGUGGCUACGUGCUAAGGACCUUCUCCGGACAACACCGGAGCCAUUACAAAUUCAAAGUCAUGGAGUAUGUUUUGCCACGGUUUGAGGUAUCCCUGAAGGUCCCGUCAAAGGUCUACAUCCUGGAAAGCCAGCUGAAGGUUUCCGUGUGUGGAAGGUACACGUACGGCCAAGCAGUGCCGGGAAAGGCGAGCUUUGAACUGUGUCUGAGCUGCUCCCCGAGGGAUGUUUGCUGCCGUCGCGCUGAAUCUGUACAGCUAGAGAAAUCAGGCUGCGCCUCCCACAUCUUUGACAUGUUCUUCUUCUAUAACUCCACCGCCAUGGGUGUGGAAACGCUGACGUUUAAUGGCACAGUGGAGGAGGAAGAAACAGGUGUCAUUCUGGCAAAGAACACCCCCGUAGACAUCGUGAAAAGGAUUGGAUCUGUUUCCUUUGUCGACACGCCUGCAUUUUAUGAGCCUGGAUCAACCAUUGAGGGGAAGAUCAAAGUGACAUAUUACAAUGACACGCCAGUAGCCAGUGCUGAGCUCCAGCUCUUUCAGGGAUACUGGUAUAACAGGGUGCCAUUCCUUAAUGGUACUACUAACGCAGAUGGCAUAUUUUCAUUCUCCAUCAAUACGACAAUGUUCACUGGAUCGCGCGUAAAUUUGAUGGCCAUGUGCAAGUCCCUUCUGGUUCCUGGCUUCGGGCUUCUGUACGGGACUUUCAAUGAGCCCAUGCAAACCCUCUCAGCUAUUCAGCCCGAAGCGCCCGACAGACAGACAUACAGCUCAUUAUCUCUGAAGAGCAUUGAAAAGCCGCUGAGAUGUGGAAGCUCUGUGCCUAUCGUUGUAAAGUACACUCUGGUUGGGGAGACACCGAACGCAGGCCCAUUACAUAUAUAUUACCUGGUUCUGUCCAAAGGUUCCAUCGCCCGUGCUGGUCAGAUGGCAGUUCCGUGGUCAGAAGGCUUAUACACCGAGGGCAAGACCUCCUUUCUGCUGGAGGCCAUUGAAGAGCUUCCUCCAAUAGCCCAGGUUCUUGUCUACAUGGUGCUGCCCAGUGGGGGUGUGAUUGGAAAUAACAUGGACUUCUCCGUAGAAAAGUGCUUGAAGCACAAGGUGUCCAUGGAGUUCACACCCAGCCGAGCUGUACCAGGGGAGAACGUGGAGCUGAAGGUCACGGCUCUGCCGGGGGCCUUGUGUGCACUUGCUAGCAUCGACCAGAGCGUGCUGCUGCUUGAUGCAAGCAAGCGUCUGAGUGCCGAAAAAAUAUUCGAUUUGUUACCGGUCCAAAGAAGUGCGGAGCUGCCAUACUGGAUGGAUGAACCUUCCACAUGCAUGCCUGUCAGAUCGAAACGCUACCUUAGUUAUGACAGAGAAAUAUAUGCUCUAAGUAAUUUUAGGAAUUUGGGACUAAAGACUAUCAGUAAUUUGAUCCUAAGAAUGCCUUCCUGUGUCGUUUUCAAGGGGAGAAACUAUUUCUACCAGCAUGUUAUAGCAAUGUCGAAUACAAUGGACCGACUUUCGAUGAGAGCAGAUGCAAUGCCAUUGAUGCCCGAAUUGCCACCACUGGAGACCAAAAGGACGUUCUUCCCUGAGACUUGGAUCUGGGAUCUUGUAGAAGUGGGGGACUCUGGCUCUGCCAGAGUGUCCCGUGUCGUCCCAGACACUAUCACCACCUGGGAGACGGAUGCGUUCUGCUUGUCCCAAGCCGGGCUGGGCCUGGCCCCCCCACUUAACCUCACAGUCUUCCAGCCCUUUUUUCUGGAGGUUACCUUGCCCUACUCCAUCGUCCGCGGGGAGAACUUUGAGCUGAAAGCCACUGUCUUCAACUACUUGCCUACGUGCAUCAUGGUCGCCGUGACCGCUGCACCUUCCACGGAUUACACAUUACAGGCCUGCGCUGGCUGCCAGUAUUCCUCCUGCCUGUGUGCCUCCGAGAGAAAGACCUUCCAGUGGGUUCUGGUGCCCUCAGCCCUCGGUGCUGUGAAUGUGUCCAUCAGUGCGGAGGCCAGUUCCACAGAAAUCUUAUGCAAUAACGAGGUGGUGCGUGUACCAGAUAGGGGUCGCAUCGACCGGGUCACGCGCACCCUGCUGGUCAAGGCUGAAGGAACAGAAAAGACUGACAGUCAGAGCUGGCUGCUAUGUCCGAGUGGAAAAGAAAUCAAUGAGUCUGUGCAGCUGCAGCUGCCUGAGAAUGUUGUGGAAGGAUCAACCCGUGUCACAUUCUCUGUCCUGGGGGACAUACUAGGCCACGCGCUGCAGAAUCUGGAGAACCUGCUGAGGAUGCCCUACGGCUGCGGUGAGCAGAACAUGGUCCUCCUGGCCCCCAACAUCUACCUUCUGCAUUACCUGCAAGCCACGAACCAGCUGACCCCGGCAAUCCAAGAGAAGGCCACAGGAUUCCUGAAGAGCGGUUACCAGAGGCAGCUGAAUUACAAGCAUCAUAAUGGCGCAUUCAGCACCUUUGGCUCAGGAUCUGGAAACAACUGGCUGACCGCCUUCGUAGCCAAGUCUUUUUCCAGUGCCCAGGAGUUCAUCUACAUCGAGCCCAAACAAAUGAAGGAGGCACAUUCCUGGCUGCUCACGACGCAGAAACCAGACGGAUGCUUUUUGACUGUGGGGAAGCUUUUCAACAACAGAAUGAAGGGUGGAGUGGGCGAUGACGUGACACUCACUGCUUACAUCACUGCGGCCUUCCUGGAGAGUAAGAUGUCACCCCAGGACGCUGCUGUAAACCGUAGCCUGGCCUGUCUGAGGUCAGACAGCAGCUACCUGACGAACACCUACACCACGGCCCUGUUGGCCUAUACCUUCAGCCUGGCUGGAGAUCAGGAGAAACGUGCCCAGUUGCUGGACCACCUGAAGAAAAUCGCCUCAGAUAAAGAAGGCGGGCUGCACUGGUCCCAGUCAUCUUCUGAGAAGUCCGAGGCCCUCUCUGUGGAGAUCAGUUCCUACGUGCUCCUAGCUAUACUCACCACAUCUCCACUGACCUCCACCGACUUGGGUUAUGCCACCAAAAUAGUCCAGUGGCUAGUGAGGCAGCAGAACGAGUACGGUGGCUUCUCAUCCACACAGGUAACUACAUACAGGUAACCCCCACCACAUGGGUAACUACAUACAGGUAACCUUCACCACACAGGUAACCCCCACCACAUGGGUAACUACAUACAGGUAACCUUCACCACACAGGUAACCCCCACCACAUGGGUAACUACAUACAGGUAACCUUCACCACACAGGUAACCCCCACCACAUGGGUAACUACAUACAGGUAACCUUCACCACACAGGUAACCCCCACCACAUGGGUAACUACAUACAGGUAACCUUCACCACACAGGUAACCCCCACCACAUGGGUAACUACAUACAGGUAACCUUCACCACACAGGUAACCCCCACCACAUGGGUAACUACAUACAGGUAACCUUCACCACACAGGUAACCCCCACCACAUGGGUAACUACAUACAAGUAACCUUCACCACACAGGUAACCCCCACCACAUGGGUAACUACAUACAGGUAACCUUCACCACACAGGUAACCCCCACCACAUGGGUAACUACAUACAGGUAACCUGCUCCACACAGGUAACCCCCACCACAUGGGUAACUACAUACAGGUAACCUUCACCACACAGGUAACCCCCACCACAUGGGUAACUACAUACAGGUAACCUUCACCACACAGGUAACCCCCACCACAUGGGUAACUACAUACAGGUAACCUUCACCACACAGGUAACUCCAACCACAUGGGUAACUACAUACAGGUAACCUUCACCACACAGGUAACUCCAACCACAUGGGUAACUACAUACAGGUAACCUUCACCACAUACAGGUAACCCCCACCACAUGGAUAACCACAUACAGAUAACCUGCUCCACACAGGUAACCCCCCACCACACAGGUGCAUUGAGCUGAAUGUCCCAACAAUAUAAUAAAUACCUGUUUUUUGACAUUGUGCUGACCAUUUUCAGGUCCCCACAAAGAUUUGUGAAUGCAAAUAAAAAAGUAAAAAUGCCAAAAGUCUCGUAUUUUGUUUAGUUACUUAGAGUUAAAGUUAAGGCUGAUUAGUGGUUAUGGUAAUUAUGUUGGGAUUAGAAUUUCCCGCUUAGGAAUGAAUGGAGGGUCCCCACAGAGAUAUAAUUACAAACCUGUGUAUGUGUGUGUGUGUGUGGUACAGUGUCAUUCCCUUGAGCCAUGCAGUCUGUGUAGUUUUCGUGUAUAAUACGCCAUGAG